GCUUGCUUCAGCAGUGCAUAUACUAAAAUUGGAACAAUACCGUGAAGAUUAGAGAGGUCCCCAGGCAAGGAAGACGCACAAAGUUGUGAAGCAUUGACAAAAAGA